ACUUUAUAAAACUAUGUUAAGUUUCCAGAAUAUUACAUAACUUAGACUAAAAUUUUAUUUCGUUGGGGUGAUGGGGUAAUAAUUAAACUUAUCUUAAAAAUAACAUAAUAGAUGAUUGAAGGAUCCAUAAAUAAUGAUUAAAAAAUUAAGU
rnacentral:rRNA from 1 species